GUGAGGAAGAGAAUGUAGUAAAGCAAAAGCUGGUUCUGAAAGCUUCUACCUGAAAGUAACACAUACUAGUUCAACUCAUAUUUCUUUGGUCAUUCAAGUCUCAUGGCUGAGCCUGACUUUAAUGAAUGGGGGAAGUGUAAUCCUCCUCCAGGGAUUGAUGGAGAAGCAGAUAUUGAUGAAGCCAAAGUUUAUAAUCUACCACACCCAGAGAGAUGAUAAAUGGACAAAGACAAAAUCCUGCAGAAUGCCAGAAUUAAUUUAUUUAUAAACACUUUUUAAUGAGCACCUACUAUGUGUCAAUGAUAAUGUCUCUCAUCAUCCAACAAGCUGGCCUGAGUUUGUUCACAUGGUGGUGGUAGGGGACCAAGAGGAAAAGUCAAAGAAUUCAAGACCCCUUGAGGCCUAUGCUUGAAAUUGGCGUAAUUUCACCACACUAUCAUGCCAAAGCAAGGCACAAGACCUACCCAGUUUGAAGAGAUAAGGAAAUAGACUCCAUCUCUUGAUGUGAGGAGUUGCAAAGUCACACUGCAAAGAGCAUGGAUCCAGAGAGGAUGAAUAAUGGUGGUCAUUUGUACAACCAAUCUACCACACAUCAAAAUGCCAAUUAUUGCAGAAAGCCAGUCGCUUCUAUAUCCAUACUGAAACUUCCAUUGGAAAUGGAUUUGGGGGAUAAGCACAAGAUGAAGGCACUUAGCCACUGAUGCUCGUCUAAAGAAGACAUUUUGUCUUGAAAACUGUCAGGUGCCAUUUUGAAUAUCACCUGCAUUUAGAAGCAGAACAAACUGAAAUAAAGUCAAAGCCCGAAUUUGAAAAACAAACUACUCACCUUCCAUCUUUGAUGACAAAAUCAGAAGUCAUUUGCAAAGCAAUUGCCAUGCUAGGCAACUUCAAAAUGGUCCUACUAGGCUCCUAUUGCCCAACCAGAAGUCAACGGACAAAACGGUCCAUGGAUGUGAUCCAUAUUAGGUCAGCCUUGUGGAAAAGAGAGCCGGUUAGAAAAGGAUAAAGAGGAAAUUUGGAAAGACAAAUGGAAGAUAUCCAGCACAUCACUUUUUUUCA
rnacentral:lncRNA from 1 species